CUCUCAGGAUGCCUCCUUCUUUAAUAGUUUUCCCUGAUGUCCCCUGCCUUACCCUUUGCCUUAGGUGGGUUAGGAGCCCUGGCCCUGUGUGCCCUCAGUCUGUAGCUUCUCUCUCUGUCACAGCACUGUAUUACACUGUAUUGUGACCACCUGAUUAUGUCAUUAAACUAUGAGCUGGGACAAAGAAGGCAGGGGUGCUAUCUCAUUCAACUUUGUAUCACCUGAGCUUAACUAACACCUGGCACAGAGAAGAAACAUAUUAAGGAUUUGCUGAGAGAAUAAGAUAGUAUAACUUGGUCUUAUAUCUAAGGUUUGAUUUUCUAGGAACCUAUAGUGAAUUUUAGGCUUGCUUUUCAGUUUUUGUAGCAGGGAUGUAGCACAGGUUUGGGACUCAGCACACCUAGUCUGAAAGCUGAUUUCUGUCACAGCAUGCAUGAGGGACAGUCUCUUCAGUUUAUUUAUACCUUAGUGCUGUGAUUCUCGAGCUUAUAGACACUGUGAGGACAGAAUUUUAGCUCUUUAAACAAAGGGGGGCAAAUAUACAGUGACCUCUAUCUAUGUAGGUAUUUAACUGAAAGGAAUUCCAGGGCCAAGUGUGUCUACUAUUAAAAGAAACGUACUUUUCUUACAAUGUAGUCCCUGAAUGCAAAUCAUGGUUUUAUCUGGUGGGCAACUGAAGAAACAGCAAUCUGAACUGAUAUGGGAGGCAGACCUCACUGUAACAGGAUUAGUGAGAAACAGUGUUUGUGGCUCUUAAUUGCUCAUUUUUUUUUUUUUAAUGGGGGAUGUUAGGGAUUUUCUAAGGGCAGGUUUAUCCAUAUGCAGAGUUGAUGUUAGGAUGUAAUACCACAAAGAUGUAAUUAACUCCUCUGUUUGUGGUCUCCAUGUUAAUUCACUCUCAUAAGAGGGUAUGCAGUGUGGUCACUAUUCUACCACCAUUUUUAAGAAAAAAUUUAAAACUAUUUUUUAUCUUCCAAAUUAAAUAUUUUGCUAUUUGAUAAGUUAACAAUGCAACAGAAAAUCAAUAUAACUUUUAUCUUUACCAGAAGCCAUAAAAGUCUAUCUAGGAAAAUUUCAGAUGUGUGAACAUGGCUUUAGAGAAGGAACUCAACUACAGACUAUAAGAAAUGUAAAACCAAGCCAGGUUCCUGUUGUGGUCCUUUAUUAUGACCUGGUGACCUAAGCUAGAGAAUCACAGCACUAAGGUAUAAGUAAACCAAAUAGCAUGCAUUGGCUUUAGUUCAGAAGGGGAUUUUUGUGCAGAAAAUAAAUUGAAAGUAGGGCCUCUGGCCAGCAUAAACAGAUAAGAAAAAAGUAUGAUUCCCUACGUCUCAAAAAUGACUCCUUCACACAUCCCACCAAUCAAAGAUCCAUUUGGAAUAACAGGUCUUCUAAAAGCUGCCAUAGAAGUUAAGCCUCCUACCACCUAUACUUCUGUGUGAAUUGAUUUAGUCUGGAGGCAUUUUGAUUGCUUUUCUCCUAACACCUAACUUAGAAGGUGAAAUAGAGGUCUUGUUUGGAGGGAAUUGAAGAAGGAAAAGGAAAGGGCAAUUUCAGAUCAAGGGAUAUGUUGGAAUGGUGGAAAAGUAGGAUCAUUAGGACAGCUGGGAACAGUCUUUUAGUUCUUGGAAGCCAGGAAAAAGAUGUAGAGAGAAGGGCAGAAGUGGUCAAGGCUCCAUGAAAAGGAGGAUGUAGCAGUCAAAUUGGAUGUCGACCAUGCAACAAUGACGUCAGGAACCCUGCUUGGUAUACCAUCUGUACCUGUCUGUACAGAGUUUCACUCUUGUUGCCCAGGCUGGAGUACAAUGGCAUGAUCUCGGCUCACUGAAACCUCUGCCUCCUGGGUUCAUUCAAGCGAUUCUCCUGCCUCAGCCUCCUGAGUAGCUGGGAUUACAGGCAUGCACCACCACGCCCGGCUAAUUUUGUAUUUUUAGUGGAGAUGGGGUUUCUCUAUGUUGGUGAGGCUAGUCUCGAACUCCUGACCUCAGGUGAUCCACCUGCCUUGGCCUCCCAAAGUGCUGGGAUUACAGGCAUGGGCUACUGCGCCUGGCCUGUAUCUCCAAUUCUUUACAUAUGCCUGACGAACUGCUAUUCCAUCUUGUAGGGCUAAAAUCAAAUUUUUUUUCAUUUUUGGGAAGCCUCCUCUACAUACCUCCACCUUCUAACUCCAAGAAGUCAAAAUGAAGUCUCACCAUAUUGAUCAGACUGGUCUUGAAGUCCUGGCUUCAAAUGAUCUUCCCUCCUCAGCCUCCCAAACUGCUGGGAUUAUAGAUCUUGCAGACAACAGAUCAUGGAACUUCUUGGCCUCCAUAAUCUCAUGAGCCAAUUUCUGUAAGUCUCUCUGUCUCUCUGGAGAACCUUGGCUAAUAUACACACACACCAUGAUUGAUAGUGGAUGCCCAAUAAAUGCAUUCCAAAAUAUAUGGAUGCCCAAUAAAUA
rnacentral:lncRNA from 1 species